UGGCUCAGUGGUUAAGAGCACUGACUGCUCUUCCAGAGGACCUGGGUUCAACUCCCAG
rnacentral:tRNA from 1 species